AGGUUAACACCUGAAGAAAACUGAAUCGUCAAGCUUGCCCCGGAUCCGGCUGACGGAACCAGGAAUACCGCAACGACAGUGACUCGUUUUGAGCGGAGAAGCUGUCGAAACUCACGUCACGGACGUAUUGACUAGGAAAUCCGACGUAGGAGGAGUCGGAGGCGAGCGAUGAGAGGGUGAGCCAGUAAACCGGGACUCGACCUCGCUCCGCAUCUAUGCCGCACACAUCGAACCGAAUGCUGCACGGCUGUGUGCAUAUCGGUGUGCAAUACAUCGAGCAGCGGCAAACUCGCAGUGCGAGCGAGCGAGAGAGAAAGAGAGAGAGAGAGAAGAAGGAUGACGGCGGAGGAUGAGGAUGAGGUUGGAGGAGGUUGAGGGUGGAGGAGGCCCUCCAACCUCGUUUUCGCUUUCGUUCGGCCGCUAGCUCACGUGGCACAUAUUCACAUAUUCAUCUCUACGCCCCUGCCUUCAUCCCCUUGGCGGAUACACACGGAAACGUAGCACGUGAGUCGAUGUUCGUACGCGUACGUGUGUGUACAUGUGAAACGCACACGACCGAGGAACGUGACGGUAUUUCACGUGGAUGCGAGAGAGGCUCAGCUGUGCCGUGACGUAUAAUCCCCGACGUGGCCCUAGCGAAACUUAUUCGGCCACGUGCUUUCGAAACUUGGAGCCGACGCGCGGCGUGUGCGUACGCACGGACCACCGGGUUCCCACGCGAUCCCGCUCGCUACCCGUCGCGAAAUCGGGAUGCACCGUUGACCUUGCGGCUAUUGCCGCACCGCACGAUCUACGAUUUACGAGGCCGCCGCUGCGCACCGAAAUAGUUGGCGGUAUUACCGUUUUCAAUGGGUCGAGGUAUCGCAUGGGCUUUAAGAACGAACAUCGAACAGGUGCGGCGCUUGUGGAUUUUUACGUGUCCAAGAACAGCGCUGCGAAUUUUUUAGGAAAAUCAGGUAAUCUAAUAAUUAGGCAAGAAACGACAGGUACGUGCCAACAGCCGAUAAUCCUGGCUUUUCUCAACUUUCGAGAAAUAUUCCAACAGAAUGGAAAGACGCGAUUCCAUCGAAGAAGCUACGCGAUCUUGCGACGGCCGAGAUACAGAGCCAAUCUGCAACGUGCAUCCAGUGUAGGACUGUGGUGCAGGACGCAAAAUAGCCGUUUCGCGAAAAUCCCCGAAGCGUGUCAUUCGAGCUUUAGGGAACCUGUUGCUCACCUCUGCCUGCAUCGUCUCUCACCUACCACCCUACUUUCCUUUUACACUACCCAGCCCUGUCUUCGGUUCUGUACACCAGCGAUCGCGUGUACGUGUGUACAAGCAGCGACAACAACCACUUUGCGAGUACUCCGAGAUCCGACCCAGAAGUGAAAGCAAGGAAGGAGGAAAGACGGAACGCACGCCACUGUCUUAUGGUAAAGUUCGCGGGUUGCACCAAGGGUCCAACGGGGAUUAAGUGGCGGGGCGCCACUUGUCAGGCUGGCCGUAUCUACAUCUGUUCCCUGUCUAUUGUCUAGAUUUAUUCUGUUACAUCGGGUGCGUGGAAAAGUUUCAGUCUUUUCUUUUCUUCAGCAAUUUCCUUCUACUUGUACAGAGUAGACGCAAUGGUCCUAAUGCCGUGCCCAUUUCGCACGGCUUCUCGCCAGCCAGAAAUGCCAUUGCCACGUUCUCUGCUGUCCGACUAAACUGCGAAUUUUAAUCCUUCGAAAUGCAUCCACGUCGUUCGUUCAGACAUGGGAAGAGACGAAGUUUGGCGGAAUUAAGAUGAACAUGGAAAAAUGGUAGAAUGCUUCGCACUAAUUGCUGAUCUGAAACGCUCAUAGAGGAACAGACGAUAGCAGCGGAAAGUAAAAGCGAAUAACUCAAAGCUCGCGAUAAAUCGGUGCACGCGCUCUUUAUAUUGAGAAAUAUGCAAAAUAUCGCGAAUAAACCUUCGUUCACAGACCUGAGAAGAGACGGUUUGGCAGAAGUUGAAAAGUGGGAAGAUAUUUUGUAUUAAUUGCGGGCCUAAUUAAAGUCAUAGAAAUGCGGAUAUUAUCUGCUGCUAACUACUACAUAGGAAAAGGCUGGAAUCGUGGAAAAGAUCGGCACACGACGCUCUUGGUGUUAAAGAAUAUCCAAAAUAUUGCGAGUCUCGGUCUUUCGAAGUUGUUCAUUCAGUGCUAUUUGGAAGAAAACGUAUAAAGUAGCCAAGAUGGAGAUAACUUUUGUCUGGUUUGCGAGAAAUACGGAGGCGAAGAUGGUUUUAAUGCGGAUAGAGCGAAAUAAAGAUUUCAUCGGGGCGCACUCGGCUGGCGGAAAAAGAAGGAGAGCGGAUAAUUCAGGGAAAUCAGGCUGUGGCAAAAUGUUAACCGGGCCAAACACAAACGGUGCUCGUCCCAGUAGUACUUCUUUUCAGCCGCAAAUGCCGAGUACCAUGUAGACGUUGACAAUAGAAGCGGGCGCACAAAGGCCAGCAGUUCAACUAGAAAACUUCUUUCAUCCUCCUCGAAAUCAGCGAGCGUUGAAUCGCAAAUCGUCGCAUUAAGACGAGCCGCGACAUUUCCACGAGAGCAAUCUCAGCGUACCACGCGCCGUGUGAAGAGUUCAAUUUGUGCCAGGGGCAAAGAUCCGAUUCACCUCGACUCGUCGUCUACCAUCGAACUAGCGUGUACAUUUUCAAAGAGCGAACGCAGGGGGAAUUAAAGAGACCGAUUCAUUCAUCUGCAGCUUGGAAAUUGCUUAUCAGAAAAUGGAUUUCAAUUACGAAAGAAUAUCAGGAAACAACCAAGUUACAGGAAAAUCGAUGCUUAUUCGAAUUCAGCCCACUCGAGUUUGACCAACCUAACUUCAAAAGAACGUUUAAUAGAAGAUACGAAGAAGAAAAAAGAAAGAAAGAAGGGGAAACGUAGGAACGCGCGCGUGUGUGUAUCGUACGAAAAAAGGUGGAAAACAAUAUCGGAAAGUGGAAAUAACAUUGCGUUACAGAGCGACCUUGUCCUUUUCAAAGCAACCGAUGGUCCAAUGUAUAUCAACUUGGAGCUUGAAAGCCAAAUAAAAUAAGAAACUCGCGUUAGAAAAGUAGAUCGGUCACAGGUCGGAUGAUUCUGCUAUUUGGCAUAAACUUUCUCCUUCUUUUUCCAGUGACAACGAUGCUACGCGUUCGGCUGCCAAUCGUUCAACUGAAUCGAGCCCGAAUAUUCCAUCGGAAUAUUUCCACGAAGACAAUGUGGCCUGAAAGUUUCAGUUCUCGUUCUUCCCCGAAGAAGUAGACCGCAGUGUCUACGAAACUUGGGGUCAAAAUGCAGAAGCAGAACCGGGAGAUCAAAAAUCAAAAUAUCUCAACAUCGUGGCAGUUGGAAGUGGAAAAUUCAGUAUGCCAUCGAAAAGUGCAACUUUAAAUUUCCCAUGCAGGCGGCGGAGCCUGAAAAUCCUCGGAAUUCGGACCUGUCCUGAAUCGGUGGAAGUAGACCGCAGUGCGUACGAUGCCUUGACGCAAAAUGCAAAAGCGAGACGAGAUCGUUGGUCCCGAGAAGUCGAUAAUAUCAAGACAAACCGAACAGAGUUAGAAAAUAUCGCACGGCCCAUCCUGCGGCUGACGUUUCCACCGAAAAAGCGGGGUCGGGCGAUGGCCGGAAGAGGGGUCACCGUAGCAAUGACAAGGCAACGAGCGACCUUGGGAGCCUUCCCACGGACACGGCUAACCAGUACGGCGAGCGUGCAGGGGGGAACGAACGCAAACAACGAAGCAACACGGCAGCGUGAGCACAGUCGUCACCGGCGGUAACCUACAUUUACCAUGGAAGAGAGGAGAGCAAGCGAGCCGCUUCUACGUGUACGUGCACGAGCAACAGCCCGAAGGCGGUCGAGGGACCAUUUGCUGCGGCAUCCACUUGCGCGGUUAUGAAUGGAGAAACUUCUGGUCUCGUGGGCUCGCGUAAACGUUAACACGCCGUCCGUACACGCGAGGGUCGGCCCGCCACGAAGAAAGGGCUCCGGUUUAUAUUCUCUGCGAGGCUCGUGCAACUGCGAGAUCCGCCAGGCCAAAGGAACGGAAACUGAAGAAGGAUACAACGAACAGAGGGAAGGUGAAUGCGAGCGGCGAGGACCGCAAGAUCAGCGGCCAUCCGCAGCGCGCUGCUGUUGUACGCCAAGCAUAGCUCGGCUUCUCGCUCGCUCUCGCGUCUUCUCUUCGUCUUACCCUCUGCCCAUUCCGCAAGCGUUUAUCCGACGUGUACAUAAAUAUCCGGUCGACUACUCUGUGUACACGAAGAAGAGCGAACGAACGGCGAUCCCGGCCGUCUUCCCUCGUGGCAGGGCCUCGUGUACGUGCAUAAGUUCUUGCGGAUGAGAGAGCCGGGCUGGCGAGAGUGGCCGGUAGCUGCGAGAGUACACGCCGCCAAGCAGCGGCGAAGAGGGGAAAGAGGCAGACAGAUGAGGAACGUGUACACGUACAUGAAAACCACCAACACGCAGAACAAUGGAGUAAGCAACAGAUACUGCUUGCUCCACGAACUACGUAUGAGCCACCCUAUAGAAGAUCGAAUUGGCAGAGAACUAGAGAGAUGGAUGGAGGAGAAGGUUCGCAUGGACGUAUCGUAGUACGGCAUAAAGAUGAUAGAACCGAAUACCGAGCGCAUACCAGCAGUUUGACGUCUGUCUGCCAGCAUAACCAUCACGAAAUUCCGCCUGGUGUUCUUGACCUAUUAGCUGCAGGGUUGCAACCUGACCGUUUCACUUUCUCUGCUUGCGCAGCACUGAAUGGAAAAUUCGAGACCGAACUGUGAAUGAGAAGAAUACGGUUCCUACAGCGACGAUAAUGCAACAGCCGUGAUCAGCUGGUGACGAACGAAAGCAACGGCGAAGGAUCUGGCUGGCGCGCAGGACGUUCACACGUUCGAUGCGAAUUCGCGAAACUUCGAUUUAAAAAUAGCAAAGCAACUUUCACCGAGCAUCGGCACGCACGGCAUGAUAACAUGUUAUGACGACACGGCGUGUUUACCCGGCGCUCGCUCAACGCCAAUGUAACGAUAUAAGCCAUUCGUUCUGUUCCUGAAGGCAUUACGCGCCGCUAUAGGCGUCGUAAUAUCGUUGUUUGCGGAUUGACCGCGUUUUACCAUUCGGCUAAUUAAUUCCAUUAACUCGCUGCGGGGUGGAAUAAAAGCGCGCGUAUCGGCGCCCGGCAACGGAAUUGUAACGCGGCCACGCGCACCACACUAUUCCGUGUGUAUCGAAUUAAUGAAGUUGGUAAUCAGCGUUGCCAGAUUCUGACUUUCGUACGCCGAUGGGGACGAGGCGGGAGGAGGUGCCUCGCCCUCCCUCCUCCGGCGUUCUCGCCCGACAAAAGUUAAUUACUGCGGCCAGAUACAUGGGCGUGGGCGUGAUUAAUUAUCGCGGCGGAGCGACGAACUCGCACCUUUGCCGGCAUACGCAGAAAUUUAUGGAACAUGUGCUUUGCGCUGUUUGGGAAAUAAUACCUGGUUUAAUUACGAGACCGGUGUGCACGCGCGUCUGCAAUUAUGGGGAAAUAAAAUGACGAUAACGAACGAGCAGAUCAUUACAAUAGACGUACGUCGAUGCGACGCGAUUCCGCUACCAAUAUCCCGCUUUUCCUUUUCUCUUCUGUUUCCUCUUUUUGCCUAUCGUUGCUUCCUUUUUUCGGCCACAUUUGUACGCGUCUGUGGAUAGCACAGGCGCGCGUUGAAGCGGAUCGAGAGCAAGCAAUAACGUCGCGGCGAACGAUUAACGUUAUUCUCACGUGGUCAAUGUUUCGUCUAUGGAAUUCGCGAUAAUUGCAUUAAUCGUGGUAAUUAAUAGGGCGACACGUCCCGCAGCUUCGAUAUCGUCUGAUAAUCGACACCCUGUCACCGUGGCGAUAAGCGAGCAGCGACCCGACCAACGCUCUUCGACUUAAGGAGCAAGCAGCGAGACGAUGCGCGUUGUUGCGUAUCGAAGGAACGUACAUCGACGAACUGCAAACAAAUCGACUGCGAAUAGUGACGAAAGGUGGAGCUGUUUGAGUUUCAGUGGAAUGUUUCAGCGAUCUAAGUUUCAUAUUCGGCUGUUUAGUUUGUAAUUUGUGAUGUCUAAUUGUAUGUGUCUAAAUAUGAUAUGUACAGUGAAGUGAUUGGUUUCAAAAUUUAAUUUACAAUUGUACGUUCAUUGUUACAGGUUUCUUCAAUUCGGCAAACUUUAUGUAAAUUCUUACAUCAUCCGACUAGUCGAUUUCUCGAUUUCUAUUAAUACAGGAAUUUGCAUAAAGUCGGACGAACGAAAGAAAUAGCGACGAAUGUACAGUUUUAAAUAAAACUUCCAAGCUGGUCGUUUCACCAGGUCUGAUAAGGUUUGAUUACGCAAGUUGCGAGAAAAUUUUCUAAUUUAACGAGCAUCGGAAUUAUUUUAACGUCCAAGGGAAUUAUUUUUUACGUAGUCUGUGAUAGAAAAGCAGUGUUCGAUGGUUAACUGAUUUUCGAACGUGAGAAAUUGAAUCAUCCUGUCUUUUGUCAAUAAGAAACACGUAUGGACAUUGGAGAAAAUAAAAGAUUGGAGUUGUAAUUUCUCUUCCCAACGUCGACUUCGAAGAUCGCGUAAAACGCUUGCUCCAUGCAAAUCGAUAUCUAACGUUUACUUACAAUGUGCAAUUAUUAUUAACGUAAUAAAUAGUGUAGAUAUAAGUACGUAUUGUCGCGACUUAUGAGAAGAAAUAUGCUAAUAAGUUAGCUGCUGUGUAAUUGCCUGACUAUGUUAAUGUGCGAUAUUCAGGAAACAAUAGAACUUACACAAAUUUAUUAUUAAUUUAAUAAUCUCGCGUUACAUGAAUUCCAAACGCACUAUUCCAUAAUAUUCUGCCGGAGAUAUUUUAAUAAAUAAUUCCUAUACGUAAUAAACUAUUCAGAAAAAGCCAUCGCCUACGCCAGUUUAUUAUCUCUUUGAUAAUUCCUCGUUACAUCGAUUUAAUUCGCUAGGUAUCUGACGUUUUAUCAUUUAACUGAAUUAGCACCGAAACCUGCAACAUAUUCUACAAAAGAUAUUUUAACAACUAACGAGAAGAUAUUUAAUAAUAAACCAAGCAGCAAAUGCUUCCUGUCUGACUUAACACCCGGACAAACCAUCGCCUACGUUCUAUUUCAUUUAAAAUUCUACAUUCGCAAUGUUGUUCCUUUCGUUCGUCCAACUUCACGCAGAUUCUUGUAUUGGCUUGGCAACUAAAUGAUUGCGGGUUUUGUCAUUAAGUGGUAUCGACAAAACCCGCAAUCACUUAGUUGCCAAUAUCAACAAAAGCUGAGAAACCGACUAAUUGAGUAAUAUAGGAAUUUUAUUUUUCUUUUUAUUUGGAAGAACUUUACAACCAAUUCUCAUUGAGAAUUAUAAAUAAAUUAUCCUCGAUAAUAAUAAAUAAUUAUCGUAUGUUUGAUCGUAGCUGAAUCCAAUGAUUAAAUCUAGAGGGUGUCCUUUUAGUCUGCGGAUCUGAUCCAUCGUGUUGAGUAAUUGAAUAAUUAGUAAGUUUUGGUGCUUGUUAAUUCCUACGUUAUGUCUAUUACUCAAUUUACAUAUUUCUUCUUUAACUGUGGGUAUCUCAAGGUCGCGAUGUAUCGUUUCGUUGGUAACAUAGCAAGGAGCACCUUUUAAGAAUCUUAGAGUUUUUGAUCCGAAUCGUCGAAGGAUUUCCACGUUGGAAUUAGUAGGUUUUCAUAUGGCUAAUAAUACAGCAAUUUACGUGAAGUUACAGCUACAAAAUAAAUAACGACGAACGCAGAAUUUUGGAUGAAAUUUGGAAACUGGUCGCCUGACCAGACCUGGUGACGUUGGCUACUGUUAAAUCAUGCGAGAUCGCCGAUCACUAUCCCAGAUGUUUGUAUCCGGCAUCGAACACGAUAUUACCUACACGUAGGUGUAUCGACGAUGUUCUGAAACAGCGGUGCGUUUAUGUACUCACUGGCAGACUGUAAGUACGUAGUACUGUUAUGCGUUGGCAUGCGUGACGCAACAGGAAGGUGCGAUCCGACGUGGACUUCCCUGUGCCGCGUUGGAAUUAUAUUUGGAACAUCGUAUCGUCCUGUACAUCGCCGACGUUUUAGAUAAGCAAACGCAUUCUAAAAGACAUUUUUUUCGCUGCCGUUAGCCAGGUGGCAUUCGCCCGAGGAAUGAGUUAUGCUACUUGGGGGCCAGCAUUAUUACGCGGGUAUAAUGAGCGUAAUUGUACGAAAUAUGCGCAGCAAGGGAUGGAAAACAAAUAUUAAGUUACAUAUUUAGAAAGUUCGUAGCGUGUCUAAGGUAGCGGAUAUUAAAUUCUCCUUUAUGUUUCACUACGAUAGAAGAGCAUCGUUUAUUAGGAUAUUUUAUCAGACAGAGGAACGCAAGAUGCCCGAAUGGGUCGUUUUUCUCAUUGAAAGAUAAAUAUUCAGCAAGCAAACGUUCGAUAUGGAAGAGAAAUUGUCAAGAGACAGAGAAAAGAGAAUCUUUUGGUUUUUUUUUUUUUUUUUUUUUUUAAUAAACGUUGAACCUCGACUGGAAUAUUCUUCUAUUCGCAAGAUUGUCGUUUAUUCUGGUUGUUGUGAAUUUUGUUCGUGCCACGCAAUCGAAUACGUUAGAAAUCUGUGGCGAAUGUGUUCCUAUUAAAAAAUGGAGAAAAGAUUUCCGGCAGAAUGACGAGGCUAUUCAACGGAAGAAUGAAAUGCUAAUCCCACGAACGUGCGUUGCUUCUGAAUUUUCCUUCGAUCUCGCUUUCAACUUCCCGAUCAACCCGAUGUAUUAAUUUAAUUUAUCGAUUCACUUGCCUUAUCGAUCUUCAGGAAACGUCUUUCCAAAUUUAUACAACGAACUUCGCGAAAGAAUUCUAAGAAAUGUUUCUAGUUUUUCCUAGAAACCUACACAAAAGGGAAGAAAGGAAUUUUUCUAUUAACAUCAAAAAUAUUUCCAAUCUUUGACUUAAUAAAUAAUUGUAAAACAUAGACAACGAGCAUUGCAGAAUUUGCUCAGAUUUUUUGAAGACUCGGAACAUCGACGAAGCUAAUAUUGAACGUAAAUAAUCCAACGAGAAUGGUUUCGAAAAUUUCUAGCAUAUACUGGGUGUUACUAAUAUACGGAACAAACCGCAAAUGUAAGUUUGGGAAACACAGCAUAGCUGAACGUAUAAACGAUGAAUAUCGAUGUUGCAAUUAUUUUAUUAAUUUCGUAUAUCAACUUUGCGUCUUCGAAGCACCGAGAUUAGAAAUUGUUUUAUCCAAAACAAUAUUUAAUAUACAGGGUGGUUGGUAACUGGUGGUACAAGCGGAAAGGGGGUGAAUUCUACGUGAAAAAAGAUGUCGAAAAUAUAGAAUAAAAAUUUGAAAAUAUAAAACCUUUAAAAAUUAGAAAAAUAACGUUAAUCGAGACAACGAUCUACAGUGAGAUCCGUUACAACGAGACGCGAUAAAGUGCAGGCGUACCGAGCGUAAAUUCAAAGUCGAUUUUCUCGAAAACAAAGCCUCGAACGAAAAAUUGUUAUUCUAUAUUUUCGACGUCUUUUUUCGCGUAGAAUCACCCCCUUUCCGCUUGUACCACCAGUUACCAACCACCCUAUAUAUACAUAUAAUAAUAGAAUAUAAAAUAUAAAUAAUAAUACACAUAAUAAAAUGCAAUUUUACAAAACGCAUCACGAGAAGCUUCCAAGACAAAUGUAUCAACAUUACGCGUUAUCCUGAUCGUCGUUAUAAUCUUACGCUUGCAGAGCGACAGAAGAUGAUUUAAAUGAUCGAUCCUUUCGCAUGGUUAUUGGCGUGUAAUAGUUUCGUAGGAAAUAAAAUGUCGUUUAGUAUGCAGUUCGUAAUGAGAAAUUGUAUAAUAUGAAAUAUGGAUCGUCUAUGGUUCUAACCGUAUAAAUAUUUAUUAGUUAUGGCAGUGUUAUCACUAUGGUCACGCUUUUAACCCCGUUACGGUGCUCAACUUUACUUUGCGUGCGAAGGUGAUUCGCAUGCAUGUAAAUGUUAUCUUCGCGUUGUUCACUGCGAUGAACGGCGGGUUCUAGCGCAAAUAAAAGAAAUAUGAAUCGUAUCGAACAGCGGAUGAUAUAAUUUCGCGCGAAUAUACAAUCGAUGGAGAAAAAUGACGAGUUUCUAAAAGUCGAAGCAGAAUAGAAAAUUUGUCUACGCACUGUCUACGUACUGGUCGUAAGAUGAAACAAUUUCAUCCUCUUUAAUUAGCCGCGGUACUUAAAUAGCUAAUUAAUUAGCCGGUAAUUAAGCAUCGCAAAAGGAUAAUUUCUCUUUUAUCCGGCGAGAUCUCGUUUUAAAUGAAACUUUCCAUUGAUUCGAGUAUUCGAAAUAAACCUGUUGCUAAUCUCUCCGCGUGUCCUCGUUAACGUAAAUAAUUGAGCGUGAUAUUACACGGUAUAAUAGAUCUCCUUACCCUCAGUCGUACGUCUGCUUGCGCGUUUCAAACGCGUCGAAAUUAUCAGUCGAAUAGGGAAAUAUAUCGGCUGAUCUGCCAGCAAUGCUUUUCGCGGAAGCUCGACGAAGGUUAAACUCGUUCCCUAAAACCGUCGGAAGCGAAAAGGCAAUGAGAAGGUGAACGCUUGUCCGGCAGUCAGUGUACAACGGCGAAUCGAAGAAUUGCCAUAAAAGACACGCUGUAGAAUUCGUAGCCUGAGG